GGUCGGGAACUCAAAGGAGACUGCCAGUGAUAAACUGGAGGAAGGUGGGGAUGACGUCAAGUCAUCAUGGCCCUUACGACCAGGGCUACACACGUGCUACAAUGGCGCAUACAAAGAGAAGCGACCUCGCGAGAGCAAGCGGACCUCAUAAAGUGCGUCGUAGUCCGGAUUGGAGUCUGCAACUCGACUCCAUGAAGUCGGAAUCGCUAGUAAUCGUGGAUCAGAAUGCCACGGUGAAUACGUUCCCGGGCCUUGUACACACCGCCCGUCACACCAUGGGAGUGGGUUGCAAAAGAAGUAGGUAGCUUAACCUUCGGGAGGGCGCUUACCACUUUGUGAUUCAUGACUGGGGUGAAGUCGUAACAAGGUAACCGUAGGGGAACCUGC
rnacentral:rRNA from 1 species